GCAGAGAUGGAAUGUCAUCCUCAAGCAGCUCUCUAGUAUUAAGUGUUGUAAAUGUCAUAAACACUCAUCACAUGUUUAAACAAGUCCAAGCAUAUGGGCGCCUACACACACACACACACACACACACACUUUUACCAUUCCUGUUCUUAUGAAUGUCUCCUCCAGCUUCACCCCUGUCUUGAUCCGUAAUGUUUUCUUCCUUAAGUGAUGCUCGAUGAGUAACUCGUCCUCUCCUGUCCCCCAUCUUCAUCCCCUGACACAGCGUCUGUACCUGGACAGGUAGCCGUUCCUCAACUCAGGGCUGGAGAAACUGAUUUCACUUCCAGAAUCUCCGAGAAUGUGGAAACGUCCUGCUGUGAGCUGUGGAGCGGCGGAGCAGGACACGCUGAGGGUUUGAGUCGCAGAAUCGCUGUGGAGACGCAGAAAUCUCAGUUGGACAACGUCGAGGUGCCAAUAUUCAACCUACAGAGAGCAGAAUCACACAAACACCAAGUACAACUUUAACAUAAACUGGAGACCAAACACAAAAUAACAAACUAACCUGAGAUUUAUUUUUAUUAAAGAAUCAAAUCUUCAGAACUUUACAUUAAAAUGUUUUUUUUUUUA